ensembl:lncRNA
GCUUUGGAGGGCGCGGGCUUGCCUGCCUCCGCCCCCUGCGUCUGUUACGGGCGGCCCCACCUCCGGCGGUCGGGGCGCUCAGUGAGGUGAAGUCACCUCCCAGGGGUCCGGGAGUGGCCUUGGGCCUCGUGGAGGUUCCUGGAUCGCGGCGUCCUAUCUUCUGCUGGGGACCGGGAAGGGGUUCUCCGGAAGGGAGGGAGACCGCCAUCUUGCUUGCAGGGGGCAUCCCCUUCUCCCCAGGCGUCCUUGGGUGGGGGCAGCUGUGUCUCUGGGCCGGGAUUUUCCCGAGUGUGACGUGGCGUGUCGAGGUCUAACUCCUAGGUGGUAGCUGGCCGCCUGUCCUGGGUGGCGGUUUUGGGGCUGCCCAGCCUCGUACACAGGUGCCCGGGAAACCGCCCUGGCCGGUGGCCCGCGGUCCCUUCCGAGGAGCUCGGUUCUUCGUGCAGCAGGUGUGAUGUCGUUGUGGCUCCGAGAUCGCCCGCGGCCCACUGCACAGAUUGAGUGGCUUAAGUUAGAAGUCGUUUCACUAAGUCGGCUGCUGCAUUUAUAUCCCUCCACAGCUUCGAAAUAGAUGCUUUGCCCAUCAUCAGCUAGCAGAUAUUUAUUUAUUCUCAUUUCUUCUUCCUCUCUGAGUACCAUCUACAUGCCUGGCAUUACCCAUUGAAGAAAUGACAGGUGAAGUGGACCAAUGUGAAACCAAACAAUUGUAUUUGGAACUACGUGUAUCAAGCAGUGCCUUAGACUACCACGGACCAAGGUUGAGGAUGAUGGACUGCACAAAUAUUUGCUGAAUGGAAGACUAGAAGGACAGCUUCAAGAGUAAGCAAUAGGCACGCCAUGAAAGCCUGAACUUCAUUAGCCUGUCUCAGCUGCUUCUCAGUUGUUAUAGCUGUGCUAACCUAGCACGAUGCAGUCAGAAUAGUUCAUUUUGAGUAGAGGCUUCAGGAAACCACAAAUAACAAAAGCCCCAUAAAUAAUAGCUACACAACCAAACCAAAGACUAUUGAUUUUUGGUCUAUAUUCCUGUAAAGCAGAAUUUUUGAAAAACAAAGCAAGAAACAUUCAUUCACUUACCUUUAAUUCUUAGAUUACUUAAGUACAUUAUUGUCAAUCUUCCUAGACUAGAAAUACAUUUAAGUAUAUUAAGCAUAUAAAAGGUGAUAUACUGAACUAGAAAUGAAAAUAAUUAACUUGAGUCCCUUUUUUAUUAGUUGUUCACCAUUAUGACCCCAGCAAAGUUACUUAACCUUUCUAUGCCCUAGUUUUUCUGACCAUAAAAUAAAGAUAAUAAUAACUUUAUACCAGUCUGCCUCUCAGAGAUAUUAUAAGAAAUAAGAAAUUAAUGCUCUUAAGAGCUCUUUGAGGCACUUAGAUGAAAGGGCAUAAUUACAAGUACAUAUUAAUAAUUAGCACUAAUAUCCAGUAGAACUCGAGCAUUGCUAAAUUUGCUGCCUGCACAGCUCAAAGAACAUGAAAAAUCCUGUUUUAAAAUAGGCUUACAUCUAUUUCCCUGUUUCCUUCUAUCAGUCCUUUAUUUUGCUCUUUAUUUGUACUUUGCUUAACUCAAGUGAGAGAUACCAUACAGUAUUUAAGCUCUGUGUUUUAUUUAUUUCACUUAACAUAUUCUCCAGGUGUGUCCAUUUCCUGUCUCGAAUUUGUCCUUCUGUAUAGCGGAGUAGUAAAUGAGAAGGGGUCUCAGGAGAUGGAGGAGGAGGGAAGUGGGGAAGUAAAAGAUCUAAGGUUUGUCAUGUACCUAUACCAGAUGACCACAAUGAAUGUAAACAUUACAUGUUACAAUGAACUGAAAAUAGUAAAGACUGAAAAUGGGCCAAGGGGAUUUAGAGAUGGAGGGAGGGAGGGAGGUGGAUGGAAAGAAGGGGAUUAAAAAGAAUCAAGUUUUGUUAGGUACAUGUACCUACUCUCUAAGAUGAGUGUAAACUUCAUGUACUGCAAACGUGUACUAAUAAAAUAAAGCAUAAAAUAGGCCUAGAUUUCUUCUUGACCUGUGAAUUUACUUUAUAUCAUUGAUGACCAGACUUUACAUAGUAACAAAAAUAAUAGUAUGUGAGUAAGUAAAAGAAGGGAAGUUUUAGUGACUACAGUUUUAAGGUUCACUAUUACUCAUAGCUCAUGUUUGUUUGAGAGAAAACAAGGUAGGCAUGGUUUUGUCAGACUCAGGCUUCAGAAUGACUGAGUAAUUGACUGGAGUCAUUUAAUUGGAAUUUUGUGUUAAAAGCAUUACUCAUGUUUCUGUAGAAUAAACAUUUUGAAACAG